UGGGGAAUAUUGCACAAUGGGCGAAAGCCUGAUGCAGCAACGCCGCGUGCGGGAUGACGGCCUUCGGGUUGUAAACCGCUUUCACCAGGGGCGAAUGUAGACGGUACCUGGAGAAGAAGCACCGGCUAACUACGUGCCAGCAGCCGCGGUGAUACGUAGGGUGCGAGCGUUGUCCGGAUUUAUUGGGCGUAAAGAGCUCGUAGGGGGUUUGUUGCGUCGGAAGUGAAAACACAGGGCUUAACUUUGGGCUUGCUUUCGAUACGGGCAGACUUGAGGAAGGUAGGGGAGAACGGAAUUCCUGGUGGAGCGGUGGAAUGCGCAGAUAUCAGGAGGAACACCAGUGGCGAAGGCGGUUCUCUGGACCUUUCCUGACGCUGAGGAGCGAAAGCGUGGGGAGCAAACA
rnacentral:rRNA from 1 species